UUGCGGAUUCCAAGCUGCCCGACAUGCAGGCGGGCUGGGAGCAGGCAAUCUCCAACACGAUGGCGGGUCUCAGCGGUCUCAACAUGGUCUAUGAAGCGG
rnacentral:ncRNA from 1 species